rnacentral:rRNA from 1 species
UACGUAGGUGGCAAGCGUUGUUCGGAAUUACUGGGCGUAAAGGGCUCGUAGGCGGCCAACUAAGUCGGACGUGAAAUCCCCAGGCUCAACCUGGGAACUGCGUCCGAUACUGGAUGGCUUGAAUCCGGGAGAGGGAUGCAGAAUUCCAGGUGUAGCGGUGAAAUGCGUAGAUAUCUGGAGGAAUACCGGUGGCGAAGGCGGCAUCCUGGACCGGCAUUGACGCUGAGGAGCGAAAGCCAGGGGAGCAAACGGG